rnacentral:rRNA from 1 species
AAUGAACGUUGGCGGCGUGGAUUAGGCAUGCGAGUCGCGCGAGAAUGUAGCAAUACAGGAAAGCGGCGAAAGGGAGAGGACAACAUGGGAAUCUGCCCGGGGACGAGGAUAGCGUCGGAAACUGACGGUAAUACUCGAUAAUGUUUGCGGACCAAAGGUGAGAUUCCGCCCCUGGAUGAGCCCAUGCCCAUUAGCUUGUUGGCGGUGUAAUAGACCACCAAGGCGAUGAUGGGUAGCUGGUGUGAGAGCACGACCAGCCUCACUGGGACUGAGACACGGCCCAGACUCCUACGGGAGGCAGCAGUGGGGAAUAUUGGACAAUGGGCGGAAAGCCUGAUCCAGCAAUGCCGCGUGAGUGAUGGAGGCCUCGG